GAACGUACAUCUUGAAGCAUUUGGAGAAUUAACAAACAUAGUACUUGAAGGAUGUAUGAAUAACCUUUGGUUGUUUUGAUCAUAAAACUUCGUCAGGCGAGCUUCCUGCUCCAUUUCAAGCGAUCCAGAAAAUGAAGCAACAAAUUUUUUAUCAGGAUAAACACAUUUCACAACAUUGGGACUUAAAGCAGCAGCAAUUAGAGUCGAUAGAACAGUCAGGUUUUCAGUUGAAUACCAA